rnacentral:rRNA from 1 species
GACGAACGCUGGCGGCGUGCUUAACACAUGCCAGUCGAACGGAAAGGCCCUGCUUGCCGGGUACUCGAGUGGCGAACGGGUGAGUAACACGUGGGUGAUCUGCCCUGCACUUCGGGAUAAGCUUGGGAAACUGGGUCUAAUACCGGAUAGGAGCCAUCUUUAGUGUGGUGGUUGGAAAGUUUUUUCGGUGUAGGAUGAGCUCGCGGCCUAUCAGCUUGUUGGUGGGGUAAUGGCCUACCAAGGCGGCGACGGGUAGCCGGCCUGAGAGGGUGUACGGCCACAUUGGGACUUAGGUACGGCCCAGACUCCUACGGGAGGCAGCAGUGGGGAAUAUUGCACAAUGGGCGCAAGCCUGAUGCAGCGACGCCGCGUGGGGGAUGAAGGCCUUCGGGUUGUAAACUCCUUUCGCUAGGGACGAAGCUUUUUUGUGACGGUACCUAGAUAAGAAGCACCGGCUAACUACGUG